rnacentral:sRNA from 1 species
AAAUGGAAGAAGUGGGUUCUCAUACACUCAUCACCUAGACUUUAUUACUGUAGUUCUGCAUUUGCUUCAUGUUAUUUUUUCCUUCUCAAUUAUGUGCGUCCCUCGUGCUCAGUCGAAGAGGAUGGCCAUCCCGGUAGAGGGGACCGUUCUUCGGUCAAGGGUAUACGAGUAGCUGCACUUCACUGCCAGACCCUCCAGACAAGCUCUCAGUUACGGAAUGCCUACAUGACCUUGGACGGAUCGGUGGUUCGCUUACAUCUGUU